AUGGCACUUGCUCCCCGGUCGUCUCUGCGCUCCCUGGUGCUGCUCAUGUCGCACGGGAAGCCACGGCUGAGCUCUUUCUUCUCCUCGUCCUCCGCGGCCGGCACAGGCGUUCCGCCGGCCACCCCAGGAGCCGAUGCUCCGGCCGUCCAGCCCCCAGUUACUCCAUUGUGCUUUGCAGCUCCUUCAGGCCCCAAGCUCCCUGUCGAGGAAGAGUUUGUUCUUCACCCAAUUCCUGGGGUUCUACGUCCACGUCCGUGUCCGCACCCACCUGGAGCCGUUGAAGAUGUAACCGACAAGGCUUGUCUGAACGCCCCUGAAGAUCCUAGCAGUGCACACCCAACUCCUGAUCAGGGUUCAUCUAGCACACCUGAACCUGUAUCUGACAAGCCUCCCUGGGAUAUCUCUGAAGAUCCUGGACACCCGGUUCUUGAUCCACCACCUCCACGUCCACCUCGCAGGGGGCGUUGCGCUGUGACCGACGAGCCUGCGCGUUGCGCCCAGGAGCAUCCCAAGUACCCAGUUCCCGACUGUUCAAGUGACAAGGUCUUCUCCUACUGCUCCUCCGCCGUUCCGCCGCCGGCUCCAGGAACUUGCACCCCGGCUGCCCCCGACGUUCAGCCUCCAGUCACCCCAGCUCUGCCAGAUCGUUCAGGCCACAAGCUCCCCGAUCACGAAGAGUUAGUUGUUCACCCACUUCCUGAUCCAUCAGGUAACAGGCUUAGCCCUGUAAUCGAAGAGCCUGCCCGGUGCACCCUGGACAACCCCAAAUACCCAACUCCCGGCAGUUCAAGCCACAAGCUCCCUGCUCACGAAGAGCUCGUUAUACACCCACUUCCUGGGGGUCCACGUCCGCGUCCACGUCCGCGUCCACGUCCACGUGGAGCCGUUAAAGAUGUAACCGACAAGGCUUGUCUAAACGCCCCCGAAGAUCCUACAUACCCAACUCCUGAUCAUGGUUCAUCUAGCCCGUCUGUGGACUUGUUGGAAGACCCUCUACAUCCGGUGCGUGAUCCACCAGGUAGGCCGUAA
rnacentral:rRNA from 1 species